rnacentral:rRNA from 1 species
UACAGAGACUGCAAGCGUUAUUCGGAUUCACCGGGCGUAAAGGGUGCGCAGGCGGCCGGGUGUGUCAGAUGUGAAAUCCCGAGGCUCAACCUCGGAACUGCGUCUGAAACUACUCGGCUAGAGUACUGGAGAGGGUAACGGAAUUCACGGUGUAGCAGUGAAAUGCGUAGAUAUCGUGAGGAACACCAGAGGCGAAGGCGGUUACCUGGACAGUUACUGACGCUCAGGCACGAAAGCAUGGGGAGCAAAAGGG